UGCGCGCUCAGCGGGCUCACAGGGACUCGGUUCCCUUUCCUGAGUCCAGGCCCUUCUCAUCCAACGUUUUCCUCCCCUACCUCCCCCGCACCCCAGCCGCCAUUUCUUUCCAGGCCUCGGGCACCAAACCAGGAUGCUUUCCAAACUAAUUUUGGGUCUCUGUGUCCUUCUUCCUCAGAGGCAACUCUCCUCCCCAGCCUCGCGGUCAACGUUUUUCUCUAUGUACGGGAACGGCAGAGGGGGUUUACUUCCACUGUCUCACUACUGGGGCGUCCCCAGCCCACCAUCUCCGGCUCCAAAAUGGACGGAGAGCAGAAAAGAGGAUGUGCCUGGAAAGCGAGCAUGGAUACUUGGAGUAUUCCGCUGGCAGCGUGGAAGGCCCGCACACUGACCUGGAGGAAGCUGGACCAAGAAUUAGGAGCCCAGGAACUGGAGCAGACGGGACCCAGCCGCGGGGACAGAGGGCGGGCGCUCGGACCGGUGCCCACAUCUGCGCCCGGGCGGAUCACGUGAAUGCCGCAGCACAGGAGUUCCACCGCCCCACGCCCCACGCCCCGCCUCCUAGCCAGCCGCUUCCAGCUACCCACCACCUCUCUCCAGCAGGGUUCUGAAGCAAUUUCAUCCUUAUAUCAGCACUACAUUAAAUUCCUUGGGCAUCAUGAAUGAUUUUCUUAUCGACAUCUUUGAGCACAUCACCACCAAGGCUGGCUGCCUAGUUGCUACACUGAGUGCUCCACUAUCACCUCCAGAGACAUCCAGAUCACCCGAGCCCGAUGCUGUCUGGGGAUAUCCACAAGCACACUGUAUUCAAAACCAAAGAUGCCUACUUCAUGGAAAAGAAGGAAAAAAUAAUUAUGAGAACAAAUACAUGUUCACAUCUCAUCAGUGGGACCUGCCAUAUAUGCCUACUUGUUAUGUGUAUCUUCUUUCAGACUUGCUCAAACAGACACACUGUGUUCUGCGGUGGACAGGUCUAUGCAAACCUACCCCCAAAGUCCAAGGAAGCUGAGAGGCCAAAGAAAGAGGCUGAUAAAUCCAGUUUCUUAGAAAGAAACAUUUAAUAGGAACUAACAAACAGAAGCUAUUGGAAAAUCCAAAUCCAGGGCUUACUUACCAUAAGGAAAGGGUAUACAUGAUUCAGAAGAAAUCUGUAGGAAAAUUGAAGUACAAUAACAUCAAGAUUGUUUUGACCUAAGGGCAAGAAUUAUGGUAAGUAUGUGCUCUUACACAAGGAACAAUAGAUAAACUGGAAAUUUUUUGAGGCUUUCCUGGAACUGAGGUUAAUCAGAAGUAAAUAUGGCAGAUUAGCAUCCAAGAUAGAGUAACUUUAGCCUCCACAUACUUAUUUUCUCAGUUUAUAUGCUGUAGGGAGCACUAACAGAACCUUCAGAUAAUAUUUGCUGUCACUUUUUAAAUCUAAGGUGUCCAAAGUCUUAGAGUUUCCCAGGUGCCAUCUAGCCCUAAGUAAUGAACAUGAAACAGCUUUCCAUUUGUCCAUACUUAAUUUUCCAUGUUUCAUUUACACUAUUACUCAUUACAUUGUUAUACUUGUACAUCUGGAACCUAAUCUGGAAAAUCUUGGUGCGAAAAGGCAGUGAUUUCUGGAAUUUAGUUUUCAUGUGUCCACACUACUACACAAAUCCCUUGGUUGGUUUAGAGAUGCAUCCCAUUUAGAACCUGACCUGAUUUUGUGUUAUAAGUGCUGGGCAUGUGUAUCUUUUCCAUUCCUUUUAUUAUUUUUAAUUGCACAAGGAAGGUACUUUAAGAGUGUUUUAAUGUGCACAUGUUGGUUGUUCCUGGGCCCUGGGCUGAGUGAGACUCUGACUCAACUUAUACCCCGAACCCACUGUGUCAGGAUUCUUCCCCUCCAGAGACUGUGGUGCUGAGCCCUGGGUGGCUUCAUGCAGUCUCUCCCCCUUUCCAUCCCUUGUGGAAGUCACUGCUCGGCUAACUAGGUAGCUAAACAGAGGAGCCUAAUUUCAAUUUAAGGGGAUGCAUUUGGGAGAAUACAGAGACAGACAUUGUGUUCAUGCAUUUUGCAUUGCUAUAAAGGAAUAAUACCUAAGGUGAGGUAAUUCAUAAUGAAAAGAGGUUUAUUUGGCUCAGAGUUCUGCAGACUGUACAAGAAACAUGGUGCCAGCAUCUGUUUCUGGAAGCUUUUACUCAUGGUAGAAGGCAAGGGGAGGUGGCAUGUCACACGGCAAGAGAGGAAACAAUAGAGAAAAGAGGAGGUGCCAGGCUCUUUUUAACAAUCAGAUCUUAUGGUAACGAAUGGAGCCAAAACUUACUCAUUACCACAAGGAUAGCACCAAGCCAUUCAUGAGGGAUCUGCCUGCAUGACCUAAACACCUCCCGCCAGCCCCACCCUCAACAUUGGAGAUCACAUUUCAACUUGAGAUUUGGAGGAGACAGAUAUUCAAACUGUAUCACGCGUGUUAUGAAACUACUUUCAUUUCAUUUCAUGACCUUCGCUGAAAUCCUGGGAAGAAGAGACAUUGCCUGACAGCAGAAUGUAAGAUUCAUUUGAGAGGCAUGCUUGUCCUUUCCCUGGGCAUCUGUAAUUUCGCUGAAGCCACUCAGUUGGAGCUGUAAUUUCCCUGAUGCUGCUCAGCUUUUCCUGAAGCUAUCAUGUGGAUAGAUUAAUAUAUUAGUUUUGUGACAACCAUAUUACCUAGUUCCUUUGGCUCAGGGAUGUUCCCCAUUCUGAUGCUAAGCCAUUUUCCUGUGGGAAGGACUGGAGAUUUUGUUUUUUUUGGAUUAUUUUUCUCACUUCCAAACCCAACAUGCUUUUGUUGGAAAAUGCACAAAAGGAAAAAUAUCAUUAGAAACCCUAAAAAUUCUAUUAUUCAUGAAUAAGAACUGUUAACUUUUGAAUAUUGCUAUAGUUUGAAUGUCCCUUCCAAAACUCAUAUUAAAAUUUUAUUGACAUUAUAACAGUGUUGAGAGGUGGGGCCUUUAAGAGGUGAUUAGGUUAUGAUAGCUCUGCCCUCAUGAAUGAUUUAAUGCCAUUAUUGUGAUAGUAAGCUUCUAAUAAAAGAAUGACUUCAGCCCGAUUUUCUCUGUCUUCUGCACUCACUUCUGCUUCCCACACUUCCGUCAUGGGAUGACCCUUGCCAGAUGCCAGCACUAUGCUGUUGGACUUGCCAGCCUUCAGAACAGCGAGAAAUAAAUUUCUUUUCUUUAUAAAUUAUCCAGUCUCUGGUAUUCUGUUAUAGCAUCAGAAAAUGGACUAAGAGAAAUAAACAUUUUUCCAGAAGUUUUACUAUGCAAAUGUAACUAUACUUAAAACAAAAAUCAGAUAAUAUCCUACUUAUAGCUUUAUAAACUGCCUUUUUAUGAAAAACAUCAUAUUUCGAAGGUCAAUCUAUAUCAAUCAAUAUAAAUCCACAUAAUAACAAAAAUGGCCAUAGAAGCAGUAAUGGUCUAUUCAGGUAUUAUAAUAAUAAUAAUAAUAAUAAUAAUAAUAGCUAAUGUUUAUUGUGAUUUCCUCAAUGCCUGAUACUGUUGCAAGUGCUAAACAUAUACUUAAUCAUUUAAUCCUCACCAUAUUAUAUGAUGAGGUACUGUUGUUGUCUGACUUUAAACAUAAGGGAACUGAGGCAUAGUGAGGAUAGGGCUAGCAAGUGCUGAGACUUCAAUUUGAACACAGGCUGUGUGGCUCCCAAGCCCUUACAUCUAAUCAGUAUAUGCCACUGCCUCUCAUAUGAGAACACCAACCGUAUUAUUUAUCAGAAUAAAGCAAAAUAUAUGAAAUUAAGAUACUACAUUUUUCCCCAUUUGACUAAGCAGAGAUUUAAAAUAUUGAAAAAAAUGAAUGUGAUUUGGAAUUUGGGGAAAUGUGUCCUGGAAUACUGUGGAAGGAGCUGACCAGCAUCUUGUCUCCCUUCCUGUUUCUCAAAGACGUUCCUAUUCUGAAGCGAGGGGCUUUGCUAUAGGUGGAGCAGAGAAUGGUUAUGUUUCCCAGUGAUUUUAUUCUUUUGCAUAUUUAUAAGACCAAUAGGUGUUUAUUACAGUUAAAAAAGUGAAAACAUAGGACAUAAAAUAAAAUAACCAUUCCUCAAACAUAACACCUAAAAAUAAGACCUGCUAAUGUUUUCAUCCGCAUUAUUUUCUUAGAAGUUUUCUCAUGUAGGAAUUUAUACACUUAUGCAUGUAUGGACGUAUUUAUAUAUUUAUAUGAAAAAGACAAGAUCUCAUUUUAGUUUUUUAACCUGCCUAUGUCAAUAUAGUGGGUUGGAUAAUAUCCUCCAAUAAUAUAUGUCCAAGCCUUAGCCCUUAGUACCUGUGAAUGUAAUAUUAUUUGGAAAUAGAGUCAUUGCAAAUAUAAUUUAGGAUCUCAAGAUGAGAUGAUUCUGGAUUUAGUGUGGGCCCUAAAUCUAAUGACUGGUGUCCUUGUAACAGAGAGGAUGGGGAGAUUUGACAUACACAGGAAAGAAGGUCAUGUGAAGAAGGAGGCAGAGAUUGGAGUUAUGCUGCCAUAAGCCAGGGAAAGCUAUGAGUCACCAGAAGCUGGAAGAGGCAAGAAAAAAAUUGUCUUCCCAAGCCUUCAUGGGGAGUAUGACCCUGUCAAAACCUUGAUAUCAGGCUUCUGGUCUCCAAAACUGGAGGCAGCAGGUGGCUGAAAUUCUGGCGUGCUGUGACUGGAUAAUGCAUGAUCUGAGGACCCCUAUACUGAUGACUGUGGAUGGGGCCACAUUUUUUUCUACAAAUAUAUUCAUAUACUGAGCAGUCAGGAGCAGCCCUUAGGCAAAUACCACACCUUGCUUCUCUGGUGUGAUUGAUAUCUGAGCUCACCAGAGGACCCUGAGCAGCCUCCCUUUUAGAAGAUGGGCUUCCGGGACUUGAGAAAUGGUCAGAAUCCAUUGCCCUGCUAUUAUGGACCCAUGCAUCCUCACUCCACAGCCCCUCUGGGUGAUGAAGAAGACAGAGAGAUGAUAUCCUGCCCCUUGUGCCGAGAGACCUGGUUGUUGGGCUGCAUGAAUUGGCUGAUUCCUGAAGUGAGACAGUGUCUCGCUAUGUUGCCCAGGCUUGCCUUGAAU